AUGGGCAAGAAAGACUGUGCCGGCGAUCUCAUCAGAGUCUACAAGGGUGAAAGACCGAGCGGGGUUCAGCCGGCACCGCGUCGUGGGCAAAUAAAGCUGAGGAUAGCGCACAUCGUCGCUUCGGCGCUCCUCGGGACUACGUCGCAGCUUCCUGUUCUGGAUCACAAGUGA
rnacentral:rRNA from 1 species